rnacentral:rRNA from 1 species
UACGUAGGUGGCAAGCGUUGUCCGGAUUUAUUGGGUUUAAAGGGUGCGUAGGCGGCUUUGUAAGUCAGUGGUGAAAUAUGGCAGCUUAACUGUCAGUGUGCCAUUGAUACUGCAGAGCUUGAGUACAGAUGAGGUAGGCGGAAUUGACGGUGUAGCGGUGAAAUGCUUAGAUAUCGUCAAGAACACCUAUAGCGAAGGCAGCUUACUAGGCUGUAACUGACGCUGAGGCACGAAAGCGUGGGUAGCAAACAGG